CCUACGGUGAGCAGCAGUGGGGAAUAUUGGACAAUGGGCGAAAGCCUGAUCCAGCCAUGCCGCGUGUGUGAAGAAGGCCUUCGGGUUGUAAAGCACUUUCAGUGGGGAAGAAAGCCUUGGGGCUAAUACCCUCGAGGAAGGACAUCACCCACAGAAGAAGCACCGGCUAACUCCGUGCCAGCAGCCGCGGUAAUACGGAGGGUGCGAGCGUUAAUCGGAAUUACUGGGCGUAAAGCGCGCGUAGGCGGUCUGAUAAGCCGGUUGUGAAAGCCCCGGGCUCAACCUGGGAACGGCAUCCGGAACUGUCAGGCUAGAGUGCAGGAGAGGAAGGUAGAAUUCCCGGUGUAGCGGUGAAAUGCGUAGAGAUCGGGAGGAAUACCAGUGGCGAAGGCGGCCUUCUGGACUGACACUGACGCUGAGGUGCGAAAGCGUGGGUAGCAAACAGGAUUAGAUACCCCAGUAGUC
rnacentral:rRNA from 1 species